GGGGGAGCGCCGGAGCUGGAGAGCCGGGCUGGACUGUAAAUUCAGUGCCUCAGGCUGAGUGGGUUCGAAUCCCACCUCCCCCA
rnacentral:tRNA from 1 species